AGCGAACGCUGGCGGCAGGCCUAACACAUGCAAGUCGAACGGAUCCUUCGGGAUUAGUGGCGGACGGGUGAGUAACACGUGGGAACGUGCCCUUUGGUUCGGAACAACUCAGGGAAACUUGAGCUAAUACCGGAUGUGCCCUUCGGGGGAAAGAUUUAUCGCCAUUGGAGCGGCCCGCGUCUGAUUAGCUAGUUGGUGAGGUAAAGGCUCACCAAGGCGACGAUCAGUAGCUGGUCUGAGAGGAUGAUCAGCCACAUUGGGACAGAGACACGGCCCAAACGACUACGGGAGGCAGCAGUGGGGAAUCUUGCGCAAUGGGCGAAAGCCUGACGCAGCCAUGCCGCGUGAAUGAUGAAGGUCUUAGGAUUGUAAAAUUCUUUCACCGGGGACGAUAAUGACGGUACCCGGAGAAGAAGCCCCGGCUAACUUCGUGCCAGCCGCCGCCGUAAGAC
rnacentral:rRNA from 1 species